rnacentral:misc_RNA from 1 species
ACCAUUACGUCGAAAGAUGCCUUGAUGCAGUGCCUACACAGAUUGUUUUGUUCGUAAAUGAACAAACUUGGAUGCUUACGAUACUCUUGAGAGUACUGUGAAGUCCUCCUUGCGCAAAAGUCAUGACAAAAAGCGUCAUGAUUUUGCACGAUAGUUCUUUAACAAUUUGGAAAGCUGAUAUUAAUAGUAAUCAAUCAAAAUUGAGUAACUGAGAAAUCGAAAGAUGACUUUUUACUCUACUUGACUGAAUUGCUUGUUAUCAAUCGAUGAUUUGAUAGCAAGGCAAUUCUUCCGAUUAGCUUGUCAUUCAUGCAACGUAACUUGGACAGAAGUCAAAAGGCUGUUUGGGGUUGUAUG